rnacentral:misc_RNA from 1 species
GAUGAAGAACGUAGCGAAAUGCGAUAAGUAAUGUGAAUUGCAGAAUUCAGUGAAUCAUCGAAUCUUUGAACGCACCUUGCGCUCCUUGGUAUUCCGAGGAGCAUGCCUGUUUGAGUGUCAUGAAAUUCUCAACCUUUUCAGCUUUCUUUGUUGAUCAGGCUUGGAUGUGGGAGUAUGCGGGCUUCUCAGAAGUCGGCUCUCCAGAAAUGCAUUAGCGGGACCUUUGUUGCCUGGCUUUGGUGUGAUAAUUAUCUACGCCAUUGUAGUCAAGCAGCUUAAAAUGAGGUUUCAGCUUCUAACCGUCUCCCCUGAGACAACUUUUUGACAAUUUGACCUCAAAUCAGGUAGGACUACCCGCUGAACUUAAGCAUAUCAAUAAGCGGAGGA